rnacentral:rRNA from 1 species
GACGGAAGGUGCAAGCGUUGCUCGGAAUUACUGGGCGUAAAGGGCGCGUAGGCGGCCGAUCAAGUCAGGCGUGAAAUUCCCGGGCUCAACCUGGGGGCUGCGCUUGAUACUGAUUGGCUUGAAUGCGGGAGAGGAUAGUGGAAUUCCCAGUGUAGAGGUGAAAUUCGUAGAUAUUGGGAAGAACACCGGUGGCGAAGGCGGCUAUCUGGCCCGUAAUUGACGCUGAGGCGCGAAAGCGUGGGGAGCAAACAGG